GUAACAGAGGAUUUCUACACUGUUGAUUGCUACUUUUACUUAAGUAAAAGAUCCUAAGAGUACUACUUCCACCGCUGCUGUUAUAAUUUCUCCUGUUCAUAUUGGCCAUUAAAAGAUCCCUUUUGUGUGCUUCUGAUGGAGAUGUGGGACAAAAUCUACCGUCCUUGUCAGUUACAGCCUUUUUAGUACAAAGAGGGAAUCCUGUACUAGAAAGAUAGUAGAUAUGAUAUGUCUAACUCAGACUGCUGAUAUUUACUUCAGAUAAAUGUUUGAAUAUUUCUGUUUAGAAUUUUUGCACAAAGUGCAUCACUUACACAGGAAGUGCAUUAGGAAGGGGUCUCUUAAUGGCCAGUAUGAACAGAAGGAAUUACUAGAGCAAGUAAAACCUGUUUCAAUGUACAUAUGGGCACCUGAUUAGUAUUUUAAGACAGACUUAAAAAAAUAGUCACUAUCAUUUAAACAAGUUUACCAAAAAAAAAAUAAAAGUUCCACUGCUUUUCAAAAAUGCUCACUGCAUGUUUUGAAACAUGCCACUUGCCCUGUAGCUCCUGCGCAGCUCAGCCUAGGUCUUUGGCACCAUCUAGGGGUUACUUUCAGUACUACAGUUAAAACAUGUGAUAAUAUAGAAAUAUAACAGAAGCUAUUGAUCUGUGAAUGAAAACCUCACCGGUCAUAGAGUAAGAGGGACAGCCUUCAUUUUUAAACAAAAUAUAUUUAAAAAUAGGUCCCCCUUUUUUUGAAAGUUGAUAAUGAAAUAUCACCCAGCCACACACAUACAGUUGCAGGUUAUCAGUAUAUUGGGUCUUUUUGUAAUCACCAAAAUUUGAUCAACCACAGUAUUGAAUGUUUUAAUAACUGCAGACACCACACAAGGAGAUUUUUUUUAAAUCUGCAACAUCAUGAGAUAAACAUACGCCAAUAUUGAAAUACUAUUUUUAUUAAAUACUCUUUUUCCAAUAAUAAAGCUAUGAAGAACAACCACCCAAACCAACACAUGACAGUUUUUAAUGUAUGAUGUUUAUUAACUGUAUGGUCAUGCAAAAAUCCAGCAUCCAGAGUAUAGACACAUGUAGCCCCGUUUUAGUAUAAGGUUACAAUGCAAUAAAUUUACUUACAUACAAGCUAAGGCUUUUGCUAAUAUUUUAUGCAUUUUAAUGUGAGAUAACAUCAAUUGAUUUCGAUACCUCAGACGGAGCCUUGAGGAUGCAAGUAACAUAGAUUUCUUUAUCAAGUAAACAGUGAAAAAUUACCAGAAAGUAGACAUGCAUAUUUCUUCCAUUUGUAAAACUGCAUAUAUAGUCUUGCUGUUUGAGAUUGUGGUUUUUAAAUAUCCUUUUCCAACAUCUGUUUUAAGCAUUUUUACGGAUCUUUUCUUUCCCUCAUUUUACUUUAAUCUAACAUAUUAGACAUUUGCCAAAGUAUUUUGGUAUUUCAAAACAAAUUUGAAAAGUUAAGUUUAUAUUUGGUCACGUAUCCUAUAUACAGCUGAGACUAAAAAGUUGAUACCCUGUCAUGUUAAAAUGCUAUUUCAUCUAUUACAUUACAAUGGAUCUCAAUGACACUUCAGCUGAAGCAGGGAGGUCACUCUGUAGUACUUCUAUGGAAGCAAUAUAAUUAAUUUUCAUAAGCAAAUGAACACCUAAUUUUGACAUAAUUACUACUGAGUUCAUAGCGUUGAAAUAUUUCUAUUGAAACCAUCUAUCUGAAUUUGUGUUUUGAGUUGAACUCUUUGAAUUUUUCAGAGGGUUAUUUCAAGUGGUGCAAUUUUUAAAAACUGAAUUUUAUAGGUUUUUUUUUUUUUUUGGGGUUCACAAAUUCAGAUAAUUUAAGUGUCCAGUAUGCAAAAAAACUGCUUGCAAAUUAUGUUGGUUAUUUUCAGAUCUAAAAAUUGAGAUAAAUCAAGUUGCUAAAAUUGGAUAGGUAGAAAUGAGGACACCAAAGUUCAAACUUUUUAUCCUAUCAGGUUACAUUUUGUCAGUCACAUGAUCCAAGAAAGACUAGUUUAGAUGAGUGACUGGAAACACUGCACACAUGAAUUUUCAAUUGUGGAGGGGAAAAUUUUUUUGAAAUUGUACAACUUGAAAUUAAGAAGGUAAUUUCAAGUUGUUGGAAAUUUCAAAGGGAAUUUAAACCACAAAUUCAUGCAGAUGGUUUUCAAAGUAAAAUACUGAAAUGCAAUACAUUCAGUGGUAUUUAAAUCUGAACAUUCUGUAAUAAUUAAAUGUCAGUUCAUCCAAAUUACAAACAUUUUCUUACUUACCUUAAGCUCUAUCUAGCCAUGCAGAUAAUUUUGAUUUUAUGUGCAAGUUAUAUUAAGAAAUGCAAGAGCAACAUCUCUGUCCAGAAAUGUCUUACUCUGAAUAGUUUUCAUUGGAACUACUUUCUACCAAUAAUGUUCACAGUAAGGUCUGUGGAUUAUUCAGAGUAACAGGGACACUCUUUCUGGGAAGAGAUGUGGCUGUUUAAUUUUUUUAAAGUCUCAUUUUUCAAUCCAUCAAAAAUGAAAUGUGUUUCGCCUUAAUUGUAUAGAGGUAGAGGCAGAAAUCUCAAGAAUACCUCAAAACCUGACAAAUAAAACCAAAAACUAUCUGCAUGGCUGGAUGGCAAAAUAGGGGUAAUUGAGAAAAUGUUUUAUUUUUAUUUUUUUAUGAAGCUCUAUUGCUUGAAUCGGUUAAAGACUGGUAACGCUGGAGAUGGAGGGAGAAAAGUGAAUGAAGUACUAUGAAGAAACAAUUCAUAUAUCAGCUGCAGUUACUGAGAUGCAUGAGGGGGGAAAAAUACUUAAGCAUGGUCAUUGUGAUAAACUAACAGUGGUUCCCAACCUGGGGGUCAUGAGGUGAUUGAAUGUUCCCUGUGGAGUUUUCUUGUAAACAAAGUUUCUGUUUACAUUCAGUGCUACUGUAAUCUUGAGGUCUAACUAACAUGUUGAAUGCGUUUUUGUUCCUCAAAAACCAUUUGCAAAGCCAAUUUUGUUUCUGAAAAGUGUUUGCAUCCAUGUUUACUUGUGAAGUUUGUGUAGUUUUACCUCUUCAGGCAUCUAAAGAAUCAAACAAAGUGAGAGAGAAUCACUUAUGGGUGGACCUGCUCACCACUGACGUAUGUGUCGUGUGAUGAGCGGUAGCGAGUAGAUACUACCUCAUUUUAGGAAGUAAAAAAGGUUGGGAAUCACUGCUAUACAACUAUAUAAAAACAAAAAUGUAAAAGUGAGUGGGCUCACUGCACCAGCUGCCUAUUCUUAAGACUCAAUAGAUUGAGUCAGAUUUUGACUUGUCAUAGCAGGAAAAGCACAGGUGUAACUAAUAAUAAUAUGAAUGAUGGCUCUGUUCCACUAAGUGCCCCAGAAAGCCAUAAAAGAAAGCAAUACCAGGACCCUGGAACUGGCAAAACUGAAUGGGAUGCAUCCUUUAUUAAUAAUAUUGUUUACACCUGUGCUUUUCCUGCAUGUCAAUGUCUGCUGUGAAGGUCUAUUUUGGCUUCAUAUCAAUUAAAAAUGCAAACUUCACAUUGAUCUAACUGUCCAAAUACUUUGGCAAACUGACCAUGUGGCUGGUUAUUCCCUCGGAUCAGUUUCCCUCCUUUUUAGAUAACCUGUAAAGUUUAACUGCAUCUUACUCUUCUACAUUCCCAUGACUGUGGAAAUACACACACACAAUGAAAGAAAAGCAUUGAUUGGUGGCAUCAACAGACAACUGGGCCAGAGCCCACAGCACAAACAGAACAACUUAGAGCCAUAAAAAACAUCACAUAGUUUCAGUACUGGUUUUACAACAUGUCAUCGUCAUGGGGGGGUGGACACAGUUUUCAUGGCAUGUCAGAUAUGUCACAGCACUCAGAAAGAAGCACAGGCGGUUCAUACAGUAGGGCGGGUCUCACAACGUUUUUUUAAAAAUCUGCUUGACUGUCAGCGUAUGUAUGUAAACGUGGUAUGUGAUGAUCGGAAGCAUCGUCGUGGUUUCAUCUUUUAGGUGACCAACAGCCUAACAGCAUGAGUUACUAUGGAGCAGUGUAGCGCAGAGACGGGACAGACGGCAAGCCUCAACCCUCCGCUGGUACAAAGUCACACAGUCACAAAAGUUUCUACGACACAGUGAAAAAACAGUGCUGCAAAGUUUAACCACUGACACAGAUAUGUUUUGUCUUCUUUAAAGGGAGAGUCUUUGAUCUCAUGUGCUUAUGAUGUUGUGAAUUCCAAUAUAAUUUCAAUAUAAUUAGCCACAGGAGUGUAAGUGUUUUUGUCUCAAGAGUUCAGCAUAUUAAAAAAAAAAAAAAAAGGUUGCGGCAGUCUCAGCCUCCAUUCAUUUCAAGCCCUAAUUUUUAUAGUUCUGGCUAAAACAAUUGAUAAAAAUAUUAACAUCAAAACACUAACAACUACUACAUUUACAACAGAAACUGUGACAAAAGGGACCAAAUCCAUUGAUUGCCAUCAGCAAAGUUCCCACAGCCCUCGAGCCAGCAUAACCCUCUUCCCAUCAUGCCUUUUGUUUUGUCCAAUCCCUCGACUGCAUUCCCUUUUUAACAUGCUUUUUUAGUGCCAGGACUUCACACAGAAGUACAGCAAGCCAAGACGAACAACAUACAAACUUUAAGAACACAAUCAGAACAAGAGACAGGCAUAAGGGUGACAUCAUCAUCAUCACAUGGCAUUGGUGCUACUAAGACAGUUAUGGGGCUGGUUAGCGAAGGUCACAAGAGUAACGAAUGUGGAGAGUAUAAGAGGCAGGAAUGAUGGAAGUAGAAGGGCAGAGGUAGGGUAGAAGGGAAGGAUUUUGGCGAGCGUCACCUGAAGUUGCAGAAAGGUUCACUCCCUCAGAAGAGCAAACACAACAGCAUCGAGUCAAGUGUCUGUGCAAAAACAGUACAGGCCAUUAGAUAGUUCAAAGAUAAUUCAUGCUUCACGUCAAAAAUACGCAAAAAACGAUAAAAGACAACUUUAAAAGUUGCCAUGAGUGUGUGUCCAUGCUUUCAGAUUAAGUAGUUCAGAGAUAUGACGAGCUUUAGACUUUGACUGAUGGCGCCUCUUAGUGUUUGACUCCAAACACUGCAGGGCAGGCAGAUGGAGGCCUUCUGCAACUUCAGGAUGAGCUGGCCUGGACAUUGUGUCUGAAGCUUAAGAGAAGAGAGGUUCAACCCUAAAGGCUGGAGCACAGGGACCUUGAGAGUGUGUGUUUGUAUUUACACCUUGGGACCUCAAAACUGGGGGGGAAAAACUGCUUAACUCCCCUCUCUACACCCUGAAAGUAAAUCAUGUUUCCCCUUUUCUCCUAUAUAAAUAUCUAUUUAUACACAAUUCUAUUAAAUAAAACCCUUUUGAUUAAAAAUGACCCUUUUCAACAUAAAACACAUCAUUCAGGAGAUAAAAACAGUUAAUAGCACAUAAUACAAAAAGACAAAAUAAAAAUAAAGGUCCCUUCAGUAAUGUAUCGCAACGCCUAAACGCCUUAAAAACAUUGUGUACAGAUGCACAAACCUGACACAAUAUGGGUGUUAAAUUCUGAUAUUAAGUAGAUAGUAGUUGCUCCCGUCCCCAUAAACCCCACUCAUAUAUAUCUUAACUGUAAAACAAACAAAACUUCUAUUCAAGUAGAUGUUCUGCUGCUCUCUCAAGACAAAACAAAAAGAAAUCACAUUUUUUCUCAUAUACUUGCUGCCCCAAUCCUACACUAUGUGUGUGAAGGUGUUUUUCUGUUAUAUAUAUUUUUAACAUGUUUAAUACUUUUCCAGACAGCAGACAAAACAAAGAUGGGGAAAUAAAGGCCAUGGGAGAAAAGGACCAGGACAGCAUCACCCCUGUGUCGCCACUAGAAGCAUGCACCAUCUGCAAGAAGGGGCUGACAGCCGGGCCCCAACCUCAUAUAGCUAGGGUUGGACUGGAUUGGUUUUGACUCUUCCCGGCCAGGAUCCAGGCACCAAUCCGACCAUGGAGAUUAAAUGCUCCAAACAGCUUUAGAGUUCAGGCAAAGCUGGAGAAGGAAGAAUGCAACGGUUAGCAUGCAAACUGUCUUUCAGGAGUAGUUCACCUAAAUUACAACAAAAAAUCCUCACUUAGCCCUUAUGGUAUCUAGCCAUGCAGAUAGUUUAGGUUUUAUAUGUUGAGGUUUUGAGAUGUCUUAAGAUUUCUGCCUUCACUCCAAUUCAAUGGAGGUGAAUGGAAUUUUGUUUGCGUUAUUCAAAGCUUAAAACAUGACAGUUAAAAGAUUCAACAGCAAUGUGUCUUUCCAGAAACAAUGCACCCGUUAAGAUUCCCUUGUCAGAUGGUCGAAUAGCUUCCGGCAUGAUCAGACAACACGUCAUUCAAACCACUUUUUUUUCUAGUGUAACUCAGUACUUACCUCACUGUGAACAGUUUUGUGAGGGACUAUUUCUUUGGUAGGAAGUAGUUCCAAUUAAAACUGUUCAGAGCAAGGUCUGUGGAUUAUCCAGCAUAAUGGAGACAAUGCAAGAACAGUUUUGUAUUCUUAUCCUGAACUUUACUUUUGACAAGUCAUGUUCAUAGUUAUGGCCCAAUUCGGAUUCAUCAAACUCUCUUAAUUGCACAAACUUAUCGCAAAUUGCUACCUGUUCAUGAGGUAGGUUUUUGUGAGCUUUAAUCAUUAGCAUAAUCAACACCCCCAAACUGCUAUAUAAGGCUGUUCCACUCUGUCUUUGUGCAAGUUUCAUUCUCAAAAAUGUAAUAAGAGUAAAACAAUACACCUGCCGUACUGUGACGGAAACAAAGAGGGACUAGUUUGACAAUCCUUUCAUUGUUGUGAUCACUAAUAAAAUACCAUUCAGCUCCAUUAUAUUGAGGUGGUGCCAGAAAUCUCAGAUACAGAUAUCUCUUUACACCAUAUGUUUUUUUUUUUUUUAAAUCCUUACAUAAACAGAGGAAAAACAACUGGGUGCAGUGACUUCCCAUAGUCCUGUAUUCACAGUGAAGUUGCCACAUUUGGCACAGAAGUGCUGGGCAAGAAAUAGUACAACCAUGUAAACCCCCACCUAAAAUUAUAAAUGAUUUCUGUUUGUGUACGGAUUAAACAAACGAGAUACAACAUGUGUUAAAAGGUGUUGGUAGAUGUAUUUUUUUCACCUGACAGAGCAAGGCUAGCUACCUCCAGUCUCUAUGCUAAGCUAGGCUAAUAAUAUCCUAACUUGAGCUCCAUAUUUAACAUAGACAUGAGAGCGGAAUUGAGCUUCUCAUCUAACUUGUAUGUUUAGCUAUUCCUUUACAAUAAUAGUAAGUUAAUGGGCAAUAGUAUGCAAUCAUCAGUAUUUUUGUCGUUUACAAUCCUAAAUCCUUCAAUGGAUUUCAAACAAUGUUCUGAAAAUGAAGCUAAUAAAAUCCUGAUCUAUCAAGUUUGUGG